rnacentral:rRNA from 1 species
CAUAGCGACUAUCGUAGGCAUAUCAAUAAGCGGAGGAAAAGAAACUAACAAGGAUUCCCUUAGUAACGGCGAGUGAAGCGGGAAGAGCUCAAAUUUGAAAUCUUCAAGGUUUACCUUGACGAAUUGUAGUUUAUAGAAGUGUUUUCUGUUAGUAGAGUUUGGUAAAAGUUCUUUGGAAUAGGACAUCAUAGAGGGUGAGAAUCCCGUAUUUGGUCCAUUAUUUCUAGCUUUGUGAUACACUUUCAAAGAGUCGGAUUGUUUGGGAAUGCAGUCCAAAAUGGGUGGUAAAUUUCAUCUAAAGCUAAAUAUUGGCGAGAGACCGAUAGCGAACAAGUACCGUGAGGGAAAGAUGAAAGGAACUUUGAAAAGAGAGUUAAACAGUACGUGAAAUUGUCAAAAGGGAAGCGUUUGACACCAGUGUUGUUUAGUUGAAAAUCAAUUCAAUAAUUUUUGAUUUUGAGUAGUAUUGACUUCAUCAGCUUGCUGCUUUCUUUUCAGAAAUUACUGAAUGCACUUUUCAGUUAACAAGUCAACAUCAAUUUCUUUUGUUGUAAAAGGGUAAGAGGAAGGUGGCUUACGCUUCGGCGUAAGUGUUUAUAGCCUUUUACCUCUGCAAUCGGAGAGAUUGAGGACAGCAGCGUAGACUCUUCGGGGUUAGAUACACUUGUGCUAAGCUAUAGCCUUGUAUAGACAACUUGUUGACUAUGCUCAGUCAUGUAGCUUACUCGCUUGUGCUAUUUUACCUACGCUUAGGAUGUUGAUAUGCAUGACUGAUAU